CACGUCGAUAACAAAAUCACGGUGUAAUAUAUAAAUAAGAAGAAGAAAAUAGGAUUUUGAGGCUGUGUUGGCGCGAGAAGAUACUGCUUCUUUCUUCGUCGAUCUGAUUCACAGAAAAUGGGUUCAAACCCGGCGUUUGUUCUCGAGAUCGGACCCGAUGGUAUUCCCAAAGAAUCUCCGGUUAUCAGUUACACAGAACAGAUAAUCGAAGCAGAGCAACUUCAAUUGAAGAAGUAUAUUGAGGAAAACUAUUCUAAAAUUCGUGACGUGGAGCGUGAGCUUGCAAAUCUGGGAUUGGAGAUGAAACUUACAUCUGGACCAAAGAAAGCAGCAUUGGAACAUAUGAGAACAAAGAUUGAGGCAUCAACAGAGAAAAUUCGUGUGGCAAAGCUAAAGGAAGAGCAGGCACAUAAGGUGUGGGAAUCAGCAUCCAAAGCAGUGAGGGAUGAAGAGCAAAUAAAGCAGAAAUUAUGUGAAGACUUAAGUAAACUGGUAGAAGAGAGCAAUAACUCUCAGUUGUCUAGGCUGGAGGAAUUAAAAAGACGAUUGGAAGCUAUGAAUCCGAACCGGCAGUCAAGUAGUCCUCACAGUGCUGGGAAAUCAAGCUCUCUGGAUAGUGCAAUCCAAGAUGCCUCCUCCCUUCCCAGCACAAGGGAAUCAAAUGGAGAUUCGGCUGAGAAUGUUCAGUACCAAAAUAGUGGUCAGAAAGUUCCAGCGGCCAAUGAGCAUAAACCGCAUCCUCCUAGUGAAGGAGAACAAAGAAAUAAAAAGAAAGUUAACUUAAGAGAUGGCAGAACCUAGUGGUACUAUGGUAAUGCGUUACUGCAUCAGAUACAUUUGGCUGAGAAAUCUUUACGAUCUGCGGAAGACUGCUGGUUUGUACAAACUUGUGAAUAGGAUAUUUUCAUGGAAGGAAAGAUCAAUUCAUCAAGUUAGAUUCGUCCUUCUGUUUUUCAGAUUUUGAAAUGACACCUCAAUUUUGAUUUCUUUGUUUUGAACUGGUGGUUGACUUUCACUUGUUCUUGGCUACUGUCAUGGCAAUCUCCUGAUGAAAUGAUAAGAACUGCCUUUGCUUCAUAGACAUCUCCAGAGAUGCAGUGUCUGUUUGCUUCAAAAGCUUCCUAAGAAAAACUUUUAAAAUGACAAAAUUUUGAAAUUUAUCAUGGUGGGGAUGAAACUAAUUUCCUCUUUGUCUAUGCAAUAAGUUUGUUGUUCAAUUGUUGGUUCAAUUGUCUAUAUGCAAAUUUUGGUAGCAUAAGAUUGAUUCAAUUCUCUGCUAUGUCAAAAAGUAAUUAUAGAUUAAGCUUAAUUAUUUGAACUUGAUUUCCUCACCUUUUGACUUUGCUUGGUUUGAGGGUGAAAAUGGGUGAAGAGAAUUCAGAAGAAAAGGUUUGGUUGAGAAGAGAAAAUGGAAAAGAAAAGAAAGAUAUAAUGUGAAGCACAAUUUUUCUGUGCGGUAGAGUGGAAAUGAAGGUAUAUAGAAACUUUUACUGAAAUUAUAUUGUCUAAGGUUUAAUUUUAGUUUUGGUGUCCUUUUAUUUUAUAGAAAAAAGAAGAAAAAUUAAAUUAUUUCAUAAAUAACUUUAAGAGAGUUGUUCUUCGUCGUCAUUCUUUAUUUUCUUUUGUUCAAGAGUAAAAAAAUGAGGGAAUUAUUGAUUUCUGAAGAAAUUAGUUAACCAAAUGCUAAUAUUGUUACAAAUAAAUUACUAAUGCAUGAAAUUAAAGUUUGAAGAGGAGUUCCUUGGAGCCAUUCUGUGCACAAUGAAUGAUGAUCAAGAUUGUAGAAAGAAAUUAAGAGUUGUCACUAAAUUUGACUAGUUUAAAGAAGUCCAACUCAAAUAUAAUAAUUCAAUCACACUUUUCUACCAAUCAAACUAGGACAAUUUCUUCUUGCACCUUCCUAACUUUCUUCUUCCACCUCCAUAUAAAUAAAAUUUUCAUUUUAUUCAUUUUGAAUUAUACAAUUCGAAAGUCUUGAUUUUUUGAAUUCCUGGAAGCACAGUAAAUGACAAAGAUAUGAAUGUCUAUAGUUCAAGAAUAACUUUCUAUCUAUACAUUCUUCUUUAAAUGUGACUUACCAAUUAGAAUUCUCAAAUUGAAAAUUAACAGUGAGUUAGAUGACCAAAUGAAUAGUUUGCUGUGAAAUUUAGAACUGUACUCAUUAAAUCAAGGAACAAAAAGGUCCCAUUUGAGACAAUUUUUCAAACCAUGAUUGAAUUUUUUGAUGAAUCGAGUUGAGGAAGAUGGGUAUCUGCAAUUGUCCAGAUGGUGGGGGCAAAGCCGUUUUCAGCAUCAAAUUUCUGAUUGAAUUACGUUUCUCAGAAGAAUUUACUCAUUACUGACUCUGUGUUUCUUGCAAUUAUGAUCUUCUGCCACCUUGUCUCUCUAAUGUACCUCUGUGACCC